GCGGCUCAGUGGUACAGCAUCUGCUUUGCAUGCAGAAGGUCCCUGAUACAAUUCCUGGCAACUUCA